rnacentral:rRNA from 1 species
UACGUAGGGUGCAAGCGUUGUUCGGAAUUAUUGGGCGUAAAGCGCGUGUAGGCGGUUAGGUAAGUCAUGUGUGAAAUCCCUUGGCUCAACCAAGGAAGUGCAUGUGAAACUACCUAGCUAGAGAGCGAUAGAGGAAGGUGGAAUUCCUAGUGUAGAGGUGAAAUUCGUAGAUAUUAGGAGGAAUACCGGUGGCGAAGGCGGCGACCUGGGUCGAGACUGACGCUGAGGCGCGAAAGCGUGGGGAGCAAACAGG